GCUGGGGGUUUGGCUCAGUGGUAGAGUGCUUGUCUAUCAUGCAUGAGGCACUGGGUUCGAUUCUCAGCACAGCA
rnacentral:tRNA from 1 species